rnacentral:siRNA from 1 species
UCCGAAACUUGGCUAGAAAA